AUUACAUAGCAGAAAUUAGCACUGAGCAUUUCAGAUGCUUCAAAACGAGUUUGCAGUUAUGUAUUUUGGCAGAUCAAGGGGAGAUGUUUUCUUUCAAAUGGAUUAACUCAAAGAAGUAAUUUGUUUUUUACAAUAAGGGUGUUGAGGCAGUGGCACAGGUUGCCCAGAGAGGUGGUGGAUGCCCCAUCCAUGCAGAACCCCGAGGUCAGGCUGGAUGGGGCUCUGAGCACCUGAUGGAGCUGUAGGUGUCCCUGUUCAUUGCAGGGGAGUUGGUCCAGAUGGCCUUUAAGGGUCCCUUCCAACUCAAAAAAUCCUGUGAUUCUAUGAAGUGAGACGCAUCCUACGCCUACAAGAGAGUCCAGAAUGUCAGUGCUGAUUAAAACACACAAUCCAAUAUAUGCUAUUUUAGUAGGAAUAUAAUUACAUGAAGGAAAAUUCAUUUUAGUGUAUUUGAGGAAAUAUAUCCCACACUUUUGUCUCUCUGUUUCACUUUGGUUACUACACACAGAGUUGCCAACACCCACAGAAAGGGCAUCAAGAAUUAGGUACUGAUUGUUCUGUGGUGGUCCAGUUAUUCACUCAAGGAAACCCAUACACUUCUUUCCCUAUGAACUUCAAAAAUUUUCGACAGCUCCCUUCAAGGGCGGUGUCCUGGUUUCAGCAAAAAAAAGCGUUAGGGGCACACAGAGCUUCGGUCGCUGCUGAGCGGCGAGGCCGCACCCUGCGUCAGGCUGGGCCGCUGGGCGGGGCGGAGCCGCCGCCAUGAUGGACAGCAGCGGGGCCGGGGCGGGGCCGGGACUGAGUCCGCAUUGGGCAGGGGCUGUUCCAUACCGCGUGACGUCAGGCGGACGCCAUAAGGCUGUGGGAACGGCAGUGCUUGAUCGGCAGUUGUGGAGGUUGUGGUGUCGCCGUAGCUGUAGCUUUGUUUAUUGUUGUGUAUUCGUUGGUGGACGGAACAGGGAGCGCCUGCGGAGGAUGGCGAGUGCCUGCAGAGCAAGGGAGCACCUGCGGAUGAUGGGAGUACCUGCAGAGAAGAAGGAGGGUUUGCGGAGGACACAGUGCCGUCGGAGAAUACAGGUAGUGCGCCGGCGGAGGUUAGAGGUAGUGCGCUGUCAGAAGAUAGAGGUGGAGCAUCUGUGGAGGAUGGGAGCACUGUCAGAAGACAGAGGUAGUGCGCCGGUAGAGGUUAGAGGUAGUGCACCAUUGGAGGAUAAAGGUGGAGGGUUUGCGGAGGACGGGAACACCUGAGGAGAUGGGGAGUGCCUGCAGAGGACAGGAACGUCGUCAGAGGAUAGUGGUUGUGCGCUGGCAAAGGUUAGAGGUAGUGUGCUAGCAGAGGAAAGAGGUGCAACAGCUGCGGGGGAUGGGAGAGCCAUCAGAAGAUAGAGGUAGUGCGCCAGCAGAGGUUAGAUGUAGUGCGACAUUGGAAGAUAGAGGUGGAGUGUCUGUGGAGAAUGAAAGCACCUGCAGAGAACAGGGAGCGCCAGCAGAGGAUGGGAGCACCGUCAGAAGAUAGAGGUAGCACGCCGGUGGAGGUUAGAUGUAGUGUGCCAUCAGAGAAUAGAGGUGGAGUACCUGCAGAGGACAGGGAGCACCUGUGGGGAACAGGGAGCGCUUGCAGAGGACAGGAGCACCGUCAGAAUAUAGAGGUAGUGCGCCAGCAGAGGUUAGAGGUAGUGCACCAUUGGAGGACAGAGGUGGAUGGUCUGUGGAGGACAGGAGCACCUGAAGAAAACAGGGAGCACCUACGGGGGACGGGAGCUCAGUCAGAAGACAAAGGUAGCACCAGCAGAGAUUAGAGGUAACACACCAGCAGAGGAUAAGAGGUAGCACGCCGGCAAAGGUUAGAGGUAGUGCACUGUCAGACGAUAGAGGUGUAACGUAUGCGGAGAAAAAGAGGACCUGCGGAGAACAAGGAGUGCCAGCAGAUGAUGGGAGCACAAUCAGAAGAUAGAGGUAGCUUGCCGGCAGAGGUUAGAGGUAGUGCACUGUUGGAGGAUCAAAGUAGUGGGUCUGCGGAGAACAGGAGAACCUGCGGAGAACAGGGAGUGACUGCAGAGGACGGGAACACCGGCAGAAAACAGAAUUAGUGCACCGGCAGAGGUUAGAUGUAGUGCGCUGUUGGAGGAUAGAGGUGGAAUGUCUGCGGAGGAAAAGAGCACCUGCAGGGAACUGGAAGUAAUUGCGGAGGACAGGAGUGCCGUCAUAAGACAGAUUUAGUGCACUGGCAGAGGUUAGAUGUAGUGUGCCAUCAGAAGAUAUAGGUGGAGCAUCUGCGGAGGACAGGAGCAUCUGCGGAGAACACAGACGGCCUGCAGAUGAUGGGAGUGUUGUCAGAAGAUAGAGGUAGUGCGCUGGCAGAGGUUAGAUGUAGUGCCCCAUCAGAGGAUCGAGGUGGAGGGUCUAGGGAGGAAGAGAUCACCUGCAGAGAACAUGGAGAGCCUGUGCAGGACGGGAGCGCUGUCGAAAGACAGAGUUAGUGAGCUGGCAGAGUUUAGAUGCAGUGUGCCAUCACGGGAUAGAGGUGAAGAGUCUGCGGAGGACGGGAGCACCUGUGAAGAACAAAGAGUGCCUGCAGAUGACGGGAGCGCGAACAGAAGAUAGAGGUAGCACACUGGCAGUGGUUACAGGUAGUGCGCUGUCACAGGAUCGAAGUGCAAGGUCUGGGGAGGAUGGGAAUAUCUGUGGAGAUCAAGGAGUGCCUGCAGAUGAUGGAAGCAUGAUCUGAAGAUAGAGGUAGCUUGCAGGCAGAGGUUAGAGGUAGUGUGCUGUUGGAGGAUUGAGGUGGAGGGUCUGCAGAGGACGGGAGCACCUGCGGCAAGCAGGGACUGACUGCGGAGAACGGGAGUGCUGUCAGAAGGAAUAGCUAGUGAACCGGCAGAGGUUAGAGGUAGUGUGCCUUGAGAGGAUAUAGGUGGAACAUCUGCCGAGAAUGGGAGCACGUGUAGAGAACACAGAGCGCCAGCAGAUGAUGGGAGCGUUGUAAGAAGAUAGAGGUAGUGCGCCAGCAGAGGUUAGAGGUAGUGUGCCAUCAGAGGAUCGAGGUGGAGGGUCUGCGGAGUAUCGGACCACCUGAGGACAACAGGGAGCACCUGCGGAGGAUGGGAGCGCUGUCAGAAGACAUAGUUAGUGCGCCGGCAGAGGUUAGAGGUAGUGUGCCUUCAGAGGACAUAGGUAGAGCACCUGUGGAGGAUGGGGGUACCUGCAGAGAACACAGAACACCUGGAGAUGAUGGGAGCACUGUCGGAAUGCGUAGUUAGUGCACCAGCAGAGGUUAGAUGUAGUGCAUCAUCAGAGGAUAUAGGUGGAGCAUCGGCAGAGGACGGGAAAACCUACAGAGAUCAAGGAGUGCCUGCAGAUGACAGGAGUGUUGUCAGAAGACAGAGGUAGCGCGCCGGCAGAGGUUAGAGGUAGUGCGCUGUCGGAGAAUCGAGGUGGAGCGUCUGGGGAGGACGGGAGCAUUUGCGGAGAACAGGGAGCACGUGCGGAGGAUGGGAGUGCUGUCAGAAGGUAUAGUUAGUGCGCCAGCAGAGGUUAGAUGUAGUGCGCUGUCGGAGGAUCUAGGUGGAGCGUCUGGGGAGGACAGGAGCACCUGCGGGGAACAGAGACUGCUUGCAGAUGAUGGGAGCGUGGUUAGAAGAUAGAGGUAGUGCGCCAGCAGAGGUUAGAGACAGAGUGACAUCAGAGGAUCGAGGUGGAGAGUCUGCGGUGGAUGGGAGCACCUGCCACCAACAGGGAGCACCCGUGGAGGACAGGAGUGCUUUCAGAAGGCAUAGUUAGUGCGCUGGCAGAGGUUAGAUGUAGUGUGACUUCAGAGGAUGUAGAUGGAGCAUCUGUGGAGGACGGGAGCACCUGCAGAGAACACAGAGCGCUGGCAGAUGAUGGCAGCGUUGUCAGAAGAUAGAGGUAGUGCGCCAGCAGAGGUUAGAGGUAGUGUGCCAUCAGAGGAUAGAGGUAGAGCACCUGUGGAGGAUGGGGGUACCUGCAGAGGACACAGAACACCUGCAGAUGAUGGGAGCACUGUCGGAAUGCAUAGUUAGUGCACCAGCAGAGGUUAGAGGUACUGCGCUGUCAGAGGAUAGAGCUAGAACUUCUGCAGAGGAUAGGAGCACCUGCAGAGAAGAGGAAGCGAUUGCCAAGGAUGGGAGCACCAUCAGAAGACAGAGUUAGUGCGCUGGCCGAGGUUAGAUGUAGUGCAUCAUCAGAGGAUAUAGGUGGAGCAUCGGCAGAGGACGGGAACACCUACAGAGAUCAAGGAGUGCCUGCAGAUGACGGGAGUGUUGUCAGAAGAUAGAGGUAGUGCGCUGUCGGAGGAUCGAGGUGGAGCGUCUGCGGAGGACGGGAGCAUUUGCGGAGAACAGGGAGCAGCUGUGGAGGACAGGAGUGCUGUCAGAAGUCAGAGUUAGUGCGCCAGCAGAGGUUAGAUGUAGUGCAUCAUCAGAGGAUAGAGGUGGAGCGUCUACAGAGGACAAGAGCAUCUGCGGAGAACGCAGACGGCAUGCAGAUGAUGGGAGCGUGGUUAGAAGAUAGAGGUAGUGCGCCAGCAGAGGUUAGAGGUAGUGUGCCAUCAGAGGAUCGAGGUGGAGGGUCUGCCUAGGAUCGGAGUACCUGAGGAGAACAGGGAGCACCUGCGGAGGACAGGAGUGCUGUCAGAAGGCAUAGUUAGUGCGCCGGCAGAGGUUAUAUGUUGUGUGCCUUCAGAAAAUAGAGGUGGAGCAU
ensembl:lncRNA